CCUUGUACACACCGCCCGUCACACCACGAAAGCCUAUUGUACCUUAAGUCGCUGCGUUAACCGCAAGGAAACAGGCGCCCACGGUAUGAUCGGUGAUUGGGGUG
rnacentral:rRNA from 1 species